AACUUCCAUUCCCCAGAGUUGCGAUGUUGCUAUUGUUGCUUUCGUGUUUUUCUUCUAGUACUUAACAUUUUAACUUUAAAUACAUAUAGUUCUUGAUUUAUCUGUUUUAGAAAGUAUCUGUUGUCUUGCCUCGAUGACAGCUGAGUUUACCAUACUUUUUUUUUUUUUUUUUUUUUUGAGAGGGAGUCUCACUCCAUUGCCCAGGCUAGAGUGCAGUGCCACAAUCUCGGCUCACUGCAACCUCUGCCUCCCAGGUUCAAGCAAUUCUCCUGCCUGAGCCUCCCAAGUAGCUGGGAUUACAGGUGCCCGCACCACGUCCAGCUAAUUUCUUUUAUUUUCAGUAGAGACAGGGUUUCACCAUGUUGGCCAGGCUGGUCUCGAACUCCUGACCUCAGGUGAUCCACCCACCUCGGCCUCCCGAAGUGCUGUCAUUACAGGCGUGAGCCACCACACCUGGCCAAGUUUACCAUACUUGUGCUAUCUCUACCUCUUUCUUUUAAAUGUUAGUCAUAUUUAUAAUUUUUAAAUUAUUCAGUUUAAAUUUGUACUUUUCUAUAGAUAUGUCAUGUGAUUUGUCAAAAAAUUUAAAUUUUUGACAAAAUGUCUUAUGUACUUUGUCAAAAAAUUUAAAUUUUAAAAAAAUGUAAAAUCCAAUCUCAAAAAAUGUAUUCUGAUUAUGUAAAUAUUAUAUACUAUAGUUCCAAGAAGUAUGAUAGGAUCCAUAGGAAAGGAGACACUGUCCUCUGUCACUUAACCAUGCUGGCUGCUUGAAGGAGAAGGAUUGAGAUCUAAUGGCUUAUGCUUUUAUUUCUUUUCAGUUUCCUCCUAAGCCAUACUGGGCUGCCACUGUUCUUCAUAUAUCAGGUUCAAGCUGAUGGAUCCAAGCCAAAGGACUCCAUAUUCUCCAAAGCCUAUAAGCAGAAUGCUGGUGUGGUGGGGCGGGGGGCGGUGAGGGGGGGGAAGAAGUUCCAUUGUGUCCCUACUGAAGGGACACAGAAGUACCAAAAGGGUCACUGAACUGCCAGGUACCAAGUGGUACCAGGUGCAACGAGGCUGCCAAAGGCAGAGAUGGGCCAAGCCAUCAACUUCAGCUGAGGUUGAGACAUGGCAUCCAUAAAUGCCAAACAGGACCAUACUCUAUGCAGAGAAUAAGGAUCAGAAAAUCAAGUGCAAAACGGGAAGUCUCCCUAGAACCCACAUGUGCUGAUUCAAGACACCCUUAUUCUUAAGCCACAGUGUUACCUAUUCCCUUGCCCCGAACACCCAGAUACCAUUUUGGUGAGGAACAGGAGAAAGGAAAGGGAAUAAAAUGUAAAAGGACUGUUUGAAUCAGAAGAGACUGACAUAUUGAUAUUUGUCCAGUUCCAUGGUUUCUACCCCACACCCAAUAAGAAAGAGGCUUAAGAGGAACAUUAGUUCAUGAGACUAACUGGCUGUUCAUUAAACACACAGCUGGACUACAUUUUCUAGCCUUCCUUGCAGUUAGGUGUAACCAUGUGAAUGGAUCCUGGCCAAUAAAAUUGAUCUUGGAAACCAUGUAUUGAAGAUGGUGAAGCCACAGAUGGAAGGCAACUGGAUCCAGAUUUAAAAGAGUUGCCUGCCAAUCAGGAACACCCUUUUUGAGCUUUGGGGAUGUGUUUUAGUUCUCAUAUUCCUGCAUAACAAAAUACUCCAAAUUUAGUGGAUUAAAACAACAAUUUAUUAUAAUCCCUAUAAA